rnacentral:rRNA from 1 species
AGAGUUUGAUCCUGGCUCAGGAUGAACGCUGGCGGCAUGCCUCAUACAUGCAAGUUGAACGUGAUCUAGUUGACGAUUUAUCAGAUACUAGUGAAAGUGGCGGACGGGUGAGUAACGCAUGAACAAUCUACCUCAUACAAAGGGAUAGCCCCGAGAAAUUGGGAUUAAUACCAUAUAAGACUACAGCUUCGCAUGAAGCAGUAGUAAAAACUACGGUGGUAUGAGAUGAGUUCGUGUCUGAUUAGCUAGUUGGUGGGGUAAAGGCUUACCAAGGCGACGAUCAGUAGCCGGCUUGAGAGAGUGGACGGCCACACUGGGACUGAGACACGGCCCAGACUCCUACGGGAGGCAGCAGUAGGGAAUAUUGCACAAUGGGGGAAACCCUGAUGCAGCAAUGCCGCGUGAAGGAUGAAGGACUUAGGUUUAUAAACUUCUAUCGAUGGGGAAGAAAAAAAUGACGGUACCCAAAUAAGAAGCUCCGGCUAACUAUGUGCCAGCAGCCGCGGUAAUACAUAGGGAGCAAGCGUUAUCCGGAAUUACUGGGUGUAAAGGGUGUGUAGGCGGUCGCGAAAGUCAGACGUGAAAACUUUAGGCUCAACCUAAAGACUGCAUUUGAAACUUCGCGACUAGAGUACAGGAGAGGUAAGUGGAAUUUCUAGUGUAGCGGUUAAAUGCGUAGAUAUUAGGAGGAACACCAGUGGCGAAGGCGACUUACUGGACUGAAACUGACGCUGAGGCACGAAAGUGUGGGGAGCAAACAGGAUUAGAUACCCUGGUAGUCCACACCGUAAACGAUGAAUGCUAGGUGUCGGGGUUUAAAACCUCGGUGCCGCAGCUAACGCAAUAAGCAUUCCACCUGGGGAGUACGAUCGCAAGAUUGAAACUCAAAUGAAUUGACGG